ACAUAUUUAUUACGUCACUGACAUUGUUUUUUAUUGCGUUUAUUUCUUUUAUAUUGAUUGAAAAUGAAAACCUUAUUUAAUUUACCUAAAAUUUGUUUGUGUUUAACACUGAUUUAUGUUGUUUUUCUGUUUAAUAUUAGUGUGUCCUGGUAAACGUGUGCUCGGAAACAUGCAGAUUACAGUAUUUACAGAGCCGACCUUGAGGCGCCCACUGAUGGAUAAUCUGUUUACCUAAAAACAGCCCACCACAAUCCAUGUUUACCAGCUGUGAAAGUGCAGGCCAAAAAUCUUCCUUCACCUGUGGGCCUCUACCCACAUGUAGAUAAGCACUUCAGGAGAAACCUGCCUGUGAUCUGCUAAGAUGCACAGAUUCAACUCUGGCCCAUUGUCAUCCCAACACCUCAUCUGCCAUCAGUUUCGUUUAGUGUCGGUCUAUUGCAAAAGUUCUUAUAAACUUUAAAUGAGACUUUGUGUUAAGCAGGGGUUUCCAAACUUUUCAUUCCACAACAUAUUAAGCCCAGGAUACACAGCAGGAUUUUUGCAAUCCAAUAAGACCUUAUCACACUGUGUGACAAGGAUUGUUUAAACUUCAGCAGUAGACUGUCGAUGAAGACACCUAUUGCAUCUGAGGCUGCGACAUCCGUCAUCAGCAUGCGCUAGUGGUAAACAAAUACAGGUAUGCAGGUCGUAGAAGCAAACACAUUGUUGAUGUGCGAUGAUCAUGCUGAACUUCUUACACUGUCAUAAAACUAUCGUAGGUGUCUUUGGUCCCAGGACUGGGAAAACAGACGUCUUUAAACCUCUCAC